rnacentral:rRNA from 1 species
AUGGGCUUCCGGGACUUGCAUUGCUUUAAUUUGGCUCUUUUGGCAAAACAAUGUUGGAGGCUUUUGUGUGAACCGGAAUCAUUAUGUGCCACAGUAUUGAAAGCAAAGUAUUUCCCCAACGGUGACCUUCUGAACUGUACGUUGAAGAAGGGUAGUUCAUAUAUCUGGCAGAGUCUCUGGAGUGGAAUUCAGUCUUUUAAGAGAGGAUACAUUUGGAGAGUAGGAGAUGGAUCACAUAUUAAUAUCUAGGAGGACCCUUGGAUUCCCAGCAGCCCGACCCACAAAUUUUUUACACCAAGGGGAAAUAUAGUGAUCACAAGAGUUUCUGAACUCAUUGAUUCGGAAAACAGAGUGUGGGAUGAACAAUUGUUAAAUGAUCUUUUUUGGCCAAUUGAUGUGCAGCGUAUUAUGAAUAUCCCUCUAUUUGGAAUGAUGGAAGAUUUUGUAUCAUGGCACUUUAAUAGAAGUGGAAUUUUCUCAGUAAGAUCG